rnacentral:rRNA from 1 species
CAGCAGUCAAGAAUAUUAGUCAAUGCUCGUAAGAGUGAACUAGCUAACUGAAAUCAUAGAAUUUUUUCAAAUUCAUGAUGUCGUAAGGGAAAAUAAUGAUAAUACCUUACUAUGAGUGUCGUCCAAAUCUGGUGCCAGAAGACUCGGUAAGACCAGAGACGCAAACGUUAAUCAUCAUAAACAGGCGUAAAGGGUUUGUAGGCAGCUUUUAUAGGAUUAUUAUAAAAAGAAAAAGGUAAUCUAAAUUAAAAGCUAGAAUCAAAAAGAGGUUAUAGUGUAUAACGCCUAGAGGAGGGCUAAUAUCCGUAGAUCCUAGGCAGAAUACUCAGGGCGAAGGCCACUCUCCAUUAAUGAUUGACGCUGAGAAACGAAGGUUAGGGUAGGAAAUAGGAUUAGAUACCCCGGUACUCCUUUCUGUAAACGAUGAAUGGUAGUCAUUAGUAAAAAAAUAACUAGAGGCGAAGUUAACACAAUAACCAUUCCGCCUUGUGAGUACUACUGCAAAGUAGAAAACAAAAAAAUUAGUCGGUCUCGAAGCAAACGGAGUGAAGCAUGUUAUUUAAUUCGAU